GCUUUUUAUUUUCAAAACAUGUGCAGGGAUAAUUUUACAUUUACCCUUGCAUAGCCUUGUGUUUCCGAUUUUCUCCUUCCUCUCACCUCCUCCCCUAGAUGGCAAGCAUUAUAUCCUUAUUUCCAAACUGAGGGAGCUAACUUGAACUAGAUGGUCUCUGAGCUCUAAAUACACCUGCUAAGUAAACAGUUUAUUUCAAAAUAUAGGCCUUCGAAAGAGCCAAGCCUUUGGGACAACGUCAUGCCCACCAUGGCUAUUUCACCAGGUUCAAAUUAGUCAUGUCAUAAUAUCUUAUCGACAGGAAUAAUCACGCUAUCACCAUGUCGUAACACUAUGUCGCGACAACAACAGAGUAGAAGGUUGAGUCACGACAUGCUUCCUCCUUAAAAAAGGGGCAUUUCCUGGAACAGUUCUCCAAACCUAAUAGGCCACCGUCCCCUUGCCGGCCUAACCACCUGUAGAUCUUCCCACCCCCAGUCUCGUUCCGGUCCGACCGAGAUCACGUGCCUGUGACCCCGCCCACCGUCCUGCUCGAGUCCAGCCGAGGGCCCCCUUGCUUCCUUUCCGGCGGAAGUGGAGCGAUUUUCCCUUUCCGGCUACGGGUCCCCAAGCGGAGCGAGAAGCAGGAUUGGGGAGCCGAGUGGCGGCGGCGGCAGCGGCGGCGGCGGCGGCGGCUGUAAUGGCGGAGCUGGUACAGGGACAGAGCGCGGCUCCGGUGGGGAUGAAGUCUGAUGGCUUCGUGGACGCUCUGACCCGGGUCCGGCAGAAAGCAACAGGACUCAUUGUGUUAGAAGAAUGUCUCCACUCUGGCGCUUGAAGAUGUGGUCUUUACAUCUCUUUCCAGUAUUCCAGGGGAGGGAAAUCUUCCUGUUUCCCAGAUAUUGACUUUUCAUUUUAAUGUUGAUGUUCCUGUAGACAUUAUGUCGGAUCCCAGAACUUUCCAACCCUGUGGUUCCAACUAAAAAUUUAUCUGGUGCACUGUUGCUUACUGCCUAGUCUCCAACCAGUAAAGUAGUGAGUAUUCAUUUUGCCUAGUCUACAGAGCAAAUCAGUGGCUGUCAUGGAUGAACAUGCCAUCCAACUCCCUUUUCCUUCUGCCUCUUUCAGCUUUGCCAUCAAGUUGCAGUGCUCUCAUCUGCAGUACAGGGUCCUGAACCAUGUUUCUCACUGGCUACUAAUAUAUAAUGGCUUUCACUCUGUGCUGAUGUUUUGACAGCCACCUUGUUGGCCUUCUGAGUUCGGGAAGAUUAUAGCCAUUGCCCUAAAGUGCUCAGAACCUCAGGUACAGAAGGCCUGUAGUUGAACUUAAAAAGCAUUUUGAACCAUUGAGAAGACUUUCUGCCUCUCUUGAGCCAGUGGUUGAGCUUUUAUUCUUGGACAACCUGCUCAAGAGGGAGACCCUCUUAAAUGCUGACCAGUUAUGGACUGUUGAAGCAAUGUUGUUUACUACUAGCAAUGAAAACUUCAUUGGAAAUGUUCCCAGCUCUGAAAUGCACCAUUGACUGGAGUAGUAAUAAGCCCAAUGGAGAAAAUUGCUGUGAAUGUAUUACUUCUGUAUGUUAGCAGCUGAAAGUCGAUACUAUCUCCAAGGACUUGCUGACCUUUAAAAAAAAUAAAACACAGAUUGCUGCUAAAAUUGGAGAUGCAAUUCCUCACUUGAAUAAUUCCGCACCUCUAGUGGACCCUUCAGUUUAUGGUUAUGGAGUACAAAAACGACCUUUGGAUGAUGG